CGAAUUUGAUAAAGGAAAUAAAUAAAUAGUUUUUCUCGAGUGCACGCAUUCCGACCGCGUAUGUGCGAUGUUCUUGUUUCAUUCAUAUCAAUGCGUCCAUACCUACCUGUACGUCACGUUAAUUUGAGACCCCGAGAUGAACCUGCUUUUUUCGAAUGAUUUUACGAGUUUGAAUUUUUCAGACGAUUUUUAAUUCAUUAUUCAUAAGCCUGAAGAAGAGAAGAAUUUUUCUCGAAACGUUGCUGCGUGAAUAAAUUGUAAAUAAAGUGUUCCUAAGACUGAAAA